UACGGAAGGCAGCAGUGGGGAAUAUUGCACAAUGGGCGCAAGCCUGAUGCAGCCAUGCCGCGUGUAUGAAGAAGGCCUUCGGGUUGUAAAGUACUUUCAGUCGUGAGGAAGGUGUUAAGGUUAAUAACCUUAGCAAUUGACGUUAGCGACAGAAGAAGCACCGGCUAACUCCGUGCCAGCAGCCGCGGUAAUACGGAGGGUGCGAGCGUUAAUCGGAAUUACUGGGCGUAAAGGGCACGCAGGCGGUUAAUUAAGUUGGAUGUGAAAUCCCCGGGCUUAACCUGGGAAUGGCAUUCAAGACUGGUUAGCUAGAGUCUUGUAGAGGGGGUAGAAUUCCAUGUGUAGCGGUGAAAUGCGUAGAGAUGUGGAGGAAUACCGGGUGGCGAAGGCGGCCCCUGGGCAAAGGCUGACGCUCAUGUGCGAAAGCGUGGGGAGCAAACAGGGAUUAGAUACC
rnacentral:rRNA from 1 species